GGGCGAAUAGCUCAGCUGGCCAGAGCGCCUGCCUUACAAGCAGGAGGCCACAGGUUCGAGCCCUGUUUCGCCCACCA
rnacentral:tRNA from 1 species